rnacentral:rRNA from 1 species
GAAAAAGCGGAGCCGUAGCGAAAGCGAGUCUGAAUAGGGCGCAUAAGUAACAGGUCGUAGACCCGAAACCAGGUGAUCUACCCAUGUCCAGGAUGAAGGUAAGGUAAUACUUACUGGAGGUCCGAACCCACGCACGUUGAAAAGUGCGGGGAUGAGGUGUGGGUAGCGGAGAAAUUCCAAUCGAACUUGGAGAUAGCUGGUUCUCUCCGAAAUAGCUUUAGGGCUAGCCUCGAGGUAAAGAGUCAUGGAGGUAGAGCACUGUUUGGACUAGGGGCCCUUCUCGGGUUACCGAAUUCAGAUAAACUCCGAAUGCCAUGUACUUAUACUCGGGAGUCAGACUGCGAGUGAUAAGAUCCGUAGUCGAAAGGGAAACAGCCCAGACCACCAGUUAAGGUCCCCAAAUAUAUGUUAAGUGGAAAAGGAUGUGGGGUUGCUUAGACAACCAGGAUGUUGGCUUAGAAGCAGCCACCAUUGAAAGAGUGCGUAAUAGCUCACUGGUCGAGUGACCCCGCGCCGAAAAUGUACCGGGGCUAAACAUAUUACCGAAACUGUGGAUGAACCUCUUUAGAGGUUCGUGGUAGGAGAGCGUUCUAAGGGCGGUGAAGUCAGACCGGAAGGACUGGUGGAGCGCUUAGAAGUGAGAAUGCCGGUAUGAGUAGCGAAAGAAGGGUGAGAAUCCCUUCCACCGAAUAUCUAAGGUUUCCUGAGGAAGGCUCGUCCGCUCAGGGUUAGUCGGGACCUAAGCCGAGGCCGAUAGGCGUAGGCGAUGGACAACAGGUAGAGAUUCCUGUACCAGUGCUAAUUGUUUAACCGAUGGGGUGACACAGAAGGAUAGGGAAUCGCACGAAUGGAAAUGUGCGUCCAAGCAGUGAGUGUGAGAAGUAGGCAAAUCCGCUUCUCGCGAAGCAUGAGCUGUGAUGGGGAAGGAAAUUAAGUACGGAAGUUCCUGAUUUCACGCUGUCAAGAAAAGCCUCUAGGAAGAGUAGUACUGCCCGUACCGCAAACCGACACAGG